GACCUCGGUAGCUUAGCGGUCCAACGCAGUGGGAUGUUAACCUGAAGAGCUGGGUUCGAAUCCCAGUCGAGUUCG